GUUUCACCAUGUUGACCAGGCUGGUCUCAAACCCCUGACCUUGUGAUUCACCUGCCUCGGCCUCCCAAAGUGCUGGGAUUACAGGUGUGAGCCACCGCGCCCAGCCUCUACCUGUGUUUUUCUUACUCGGAUGGGACACAAAGCCUCAGAUCAUCAGAAAGCUGGAAGCAAUGGUUUCUUUUCUGACUCUUGGAAUAUCAGAGCUGGCUUAGAACCUUCUGUCUUCUCACUCUGUCUUUACAGAUGAGGGAAUAUGGGCCCCUUAGGGAAGUGACUCAUCCCAGGGCCCAAUUUAAGUCUGUGGCUGAGCCAGAACCUGUGUCUGGGUCUCUGUACUCCUGGUCCAGUGCUCUGUCCACUGAGCUUUGCCUCUUCCUCUUUAGUUUCAGCCCAAGUUCUGAAAAUAUUUCCUGAGUAUGUUUGCCUCUUCCUGCCCACCUUGCCGCGUAAUCCUGUGACUCUGAGCAAGUCAGUGGCGAUUGAUGGCUGGGACUGGGUGGGGCUGAGACAGCGGUCAGAGAUGAGAGAGGAGAAGGAACGAGACUCCCUCCGCAGUGCUCCUCAACCAUGUCCUGGAGCUGAGCUUGUUGUUUUGUCUCACACCUCUUAAAAAAAAAACCAGAGGACAGGAGUGUGGAUUCCCGUUGACCAAGGCUGUCAGGUAGAGGAGUGUUUCUCAGGGGUUGAGCCUUCCCCCAGCCAGACUGGACCUAGCUGCUCCCUCCUCUCUGCUCCAUAGAACACUGGACAUCGAUUGUAGCACCUGUCAUGUCACAUUUUUCUCUGGCGUACUGUUCGUUUUUCUUGUAAAUACAAAGGUGAUACAUGCUUAUUGUAGAAAAUUUGGAAAAUAUAGACAUGUAUGAAUGAUAAAAUAAAGGUCUCCUGUAAUUGCCCACCUAGUAAUAACCAUUUCAGCAUUUUUGAACUUGUAUUCAGUCUUUUUUCCUCUAAACGUAUGAAUAGCUAAGGCCACCUGUACCCAAG
rnacentral:lncRNA from 10 species